rnacentral:sRNA from 1 species
GCAUCAAAGCUAAUAGAGUCUCAGAGGAAUACCUACUGUGCAAGCUCUUCCCUUAAUUACUUGUUGGGGAAGCCGCUUCUUGGCUGAAACAACUAACGGGAGGUUCCCUCAAGACUUGGAGAAGCAUCAAGAUAGCUUUCUUGAACAAUUUCUAUGAUGAUGCUAAGUCUGAGGAGCUGAGAAACAAGCUGUCUACCUUCACACAAGGUCCAGCUGAAGCUUUCAAGGCACCUUGGGUUCGGUUCAAGGAGUAUCAAAGGGACUACCCGCAUCAUGGUUUUAGUGAGGUACAACUUCUUGGUACCUUUUUCAGAGGAGUUGAUUGGAAAUAUGAUAAGUGUGUAUUUUGCAUGUUUUUAGCAUCCAUUUGUCAUCACUUUAGCACCAUAUCAUCACUGUUUUAUACCAUUUCUCAUCAUUUGUCAUCACUUUGCAUGUUUAGGAUAGGUUUGCAUGCAUGUUGCAUAUUUGUGUUGAUUUCAGAUGAUUUGGAGCUGUUGACGAGCUAACUGAAGAAGCAGACCUGAUCAUUUCAAACCACUCGAGCCCGAGGUCGAGUAGAAGCUUCAAGACCUCAAGAGACCAUUCGACCCCCUGGUCGAGUAGAGGACUUCUCGAUUUCAUCAUAUCACUCUGAUAAUAGGUUUUUAAGAUCAAUUAAUCCUAAAGCACUAUCAUAUCGUUGUAGUACUGAAGGUUGUCAAUCCAAAUGGGUGUGAUGCUAACAAUCAAGAUGUGAUCAGAAGUCACUAAGUCAAGCCAAGCAAUAACAGGUUGUGGUGUGUUUUAGCAGUUCUAAGUGAACAUGCAGAAAACAGAAAUUCAGGCAGAAACAGAAAAACACUCGACCAACACAGCUCUUUGCAGAGCACUGGGUGAGGCCGAGUGACAGGUUGAGUAACAGACAGAAAAUAAAACACAGAUACUCGACUGCAUAGUCUGUUGUCAGACAACUAGGUGGUCGAGUAUGAGGUCGAGUAACAAGAAAGAACUGCAGAAAUUAAGCCACAGAUAACAAGAUGCAGUAAACAACAGUAGAGUAAACAAAGAAUUCAAUAAGAUAA